CAGUCGCCGCGGGAAUACGGAGGGUGCAAGCGUUAAUCGGAAUUACUGGGCGUAAAGCGUGCGUAGGCGGUUCGUUAAGUCUGUUGUGAAAGCCCCGGGCUCAACCUGGGAAUGGCAAUGGAUACUGGCGAGCAAGAGUGUGUCAGAGGAUGGUGGAAUUCCCGGUGUAGCAGUGAAAUGCGUAGAGAUGUGGAGGAAUACCGAUGGCGAAGGCAGCCCCCUGGGCCAAUACUGACGCUCAUGCACGAAAGCGUGGGGAGCAAACAGGAUUAGAGACCCGAGUAGUCCCUGUCUCUUAUAC
rnacentral:rRNA from 1 species